rnacentral:pre_miRNA from 14 species
UUAGCGGUAUGAUACCUCAGUCUUUUCAGAUGUUCUAUAAAUCCACCUGGAAAUACUGAGGUUAAGUUUCACUGAAC